rnacentral:lncRNA from 1 species
AGAGAGGCUAUAUACAGUAGAGAGGCUACAUACAGUAGAGAGGCUAUAUACAGUAGAGAGGCUAUAUACAGUAGAGAGGCUAUAUACAGUAGCGAGGCUACAUACAGUAGAGAGGCUAUAUACAGUAGAGAGGCUAUAUACAGUAGAGAGGCUAUAUACAGUAGAGAGGCUAUAUACAGUAGAGAGGCUAUAUACAGUAGAGAGGCUAUAUACAGUAGAGAGGCUAUAUACAGUAGAGAGGCUAUAUAAAGUAGAGAGGCUAUAUACAGUAGAGAGGCAAUAUACAGUAGACAGGCUAUAUACAGUAGAGGGGCUAUAUACAGUAGAG